AAUUCGGUUCUAGAGAGGUUGU
rnacentral:miRNA from 1 species